UACGUAGGGGCUAGCGUUAUCCGGAAUUACUGGGCGUAAAGGGUGCGUAGGUGGUUUCUUAAGUCAGAGGUGAAAGGCUACGGCUCAACCGUAGUAAGCCUUUGAAACUGGGAAACUUGAGUGCAGGAGAGGAGAGUGGAAUUCCUAGUGUAGCGGUGAAAUGCGUAGAUAUUAGGAGGAACACCAGUUGCGAAGGCGGCUCUCUGGACUGUAACUGACACUGAGGCUCGAAAGCGUGGGGAGCAAACAGGAUUAGAUACCCUGGUAGUCCCUGAG
rnacentral:rRNA from 1 species